rnacentral:rRNA from 1 species
CAGCAGCCGCGGGAAUACGAAGGGAGCUAGCGUUGCUCGGAAUGACUGGGCGUAAAGGGCGCGUAGGCGGUUUUGACAGUCAGAUGUGAAAUUCCUGGGCUUAACCUGGGGGCUGCAUUUGAGACGUCAAGACUAGAGUGUGAGAGAGGGUUGUGGAAUUCCCAGUGUAGAGGUGAAAUUCGUAGAUAUUGGGAAGAACACCGGUGGCGAAGGCGGCAACCUGGCUCAUUACUGACGCUGAGGCGCGAAAGCGUGGGGAGCAAACAGGAUUAGAUACCCCCGUAGUCCCUGUCUCUUAUAC